rnacentral:rRNA from 1 species
CUAGAGAUAGAAAGUUACUUCGGUACAUCGGUGGACAGGUGGUGCAUGGUUGUCGUCAGCUCGUGUCGUGAGAUGUUGGGUUAAGUCCCGCAACGAGCGCAACCCCUAUUGUUAGUUGCCAUCAUUCAGUUGGGCACUCUAGCGAGACUGCCGGUAAUAAACCGGAGGAAGGUGGGGAUGACGUCAAAUCAUCAUGCCCCUUAUGACCUGGGCUACACACGUGCUACAAUGGUUGGUACAACGAGUUGCGAGUCGGUGACGGCGAGCUAAUCUCUUAAAGCCAAUCUCAGUUCGGAUUGUAGGCUGCAACUCGCCUACAUGAAGUCGGAAUCGCUAGUAAUCGCGGAUCAGCACGCCGCGGUGAAUACGUUCCCGGGCCUU